CAACCCUUAUGGAAGGCAGAGUGAUGGAGAAGAUAAACGGCAAUUUGUAAGACAUUAGCAGCACUGUUGUUAGCAAGUAACAGAUUUAAGUUGUAGUUUUUGUUGCUUAUUGUCAUCUUCAGUAACUUUUGGUCCACAAAGGAAAAAAAAAUGUUUAAUUCUGUACGUACUACACGCCAAGGCACAAUGUUGAAUACACACAUGGUUCAUAGUCAACUAAGAAUUCUGUGUAAAAUUUACGCUUAAAUGUGGAUGAUCGUGC
rnacentral:misc_RNA from 1 species